rfam:Schistosoma mansoni strain Puerto Rico chromosome 1, complete genome
GCACUGCUGAUGAGUCCCAUAAUAGGACGAAACGGCCGUCCAGUGC